UAGCCUUGACAUUGAUAGAAUUUUGUAGAGAUACAGAAGUGCCUCUUUGAGGAGCUUGAAAACAGGUGCUGCACGGCUGUCGUCAGCUCGUGUCGUGAGAUGUUGGGUUAAGUCCCGCAACGAGCGCAACCCUCGUCCUUAGUUACUAACGGUUCGGCCGAGGACUCUAAGGAGACUGCCUUCGUAAGGAGGAGGAAGGUGAGGACGACGUCAAGUCAUCAUGGCCCUUACGGCUAGGGCAACACACGUGCUACAAUGGUUAGGACAAUGAGAAGCAAUACUGUGAGGUGGAGCAAAUCUAUAAACCUAAUCUCAGUUCGGAUAGCAGUCUGCAACUCGACUGCUUGAAGCUGGAAUCACUAGUAAUCGUAAAUCAGCUAUGUUACGGUGAAUACGUUACCGGGUC
rnacentral:rRNA from 1 species